rnacentral:rRNA from 1 species
GACGAACGCUGGCGGCGCGCCUAACACAUGCAAGUCGAACGAGCGAGCGAGAGCUUGCUUUCUCGAGCGAGUGGCGAACGGGUGAGUAACGCGUGAGGAACCUGCCUCAAAGAGGGGGACAACAGUUGGAAACGACUGCUAAUACCGCAUAAGCCCACGACCCGGCAUCGGGUGGAGGGAAAAGGAGCGAUCCGCUUUGAGAUGGCCUCGCGUCCGAUUAGCUAGUUGGGGGGGUAACGGCCCACCAAGGCGACGGAUGGUAGCCGGGCGGGGAAGUUGAAACGCCGCAUUGGGACUGAGACACGGCCCAGACUCCGACGGGAAGCAGCAGUGGGGAAUAUUGCACAAGGGGGGAAACCGUGAUGCAGCGACGCCGCGUAGAGGGAGAAGGUCGUCGGAUUGUAAACUCGUGUUGUAGGAGAAGAUAAUGACGGUACUCAACAAGGAAGUGACGGCUAACUACGUG